UCCCUAGUAGCUUAAACAGUAAAGCAUCUGUUUGCAAUGCAGGAGACCCAGGUUUGAUCUCUGGGUUGGGAA
rnacentral:tRNA from 1 species